UGGGGAAUAUUGCACAAUGGGGGAAACCCUGAUGCAGCGACGCCGCGUGAGCGAAGAAGUAUUUCGGUAUGUAAAGCUCUAUCAGCAGGGAAGAAAAUGACGGUACCUGACUAAGAAGCCCCGGCUAACUACGUGCCAGCAGCCGCGGUAAUACGUAGGGGGCAAGCGUUAUCCGGAUUUACUGGGUGUAAAGGGAGCGUAGACGGAGCAGCAAGUCUGAUGUGAAAACCCGGGGCUCAACCCCGGGACUGCAUUGGAAACUGUUGAUCUGGAGUGCCGGAGAGGUAAGCGGAAUUCCUAGUGUAGCGGUGAAAUGCGUAGAUAUUAGGAGGAACACCAGUGGCGAAGGCGGCUUACUGGACGGUAACUGACGUUGAGGCUCGAAAGCGUGGGGAGCAAACAGGAUUAGAUACCCUGGUA
rnacentral:rRNA from 1 species